rnacentral:misc_RNA from 1 species
AAGUUGUAACAAGGUUUCCGUAGGUGAACCUGCGGAAGGAUCAUUAACAAAUCCGUAUGUGUGCGAGGAGUGUAAAAGCUCUUUGCGCCAAUACAAGUUCCGGUGGGUCUGCAAGGGCCUGCUGUUGAAUGUAUAUAUGUGUGUGUAUGAGUAGACAGUGUGUAAAUAUUAUAAUUAAAUGACAACUUUUAACAAUGGAUCUCUAGGCUCUU